GAUUUUUUUGCCACCUUCUGCUGCUUCAUGGCUUGGACGUCUGGGCUGGGUGUUAUCGUCAGGGGGCUUGUCAAACCCUCGUCUGGUCCUUGAUGAUCAGCUGCACAAGCUGAAAGAUGGAGUUGGUGUAGAACGGCGGUUCCCCCGUGUGGAGCUCAUAGAGGAUGCAGCCCAAAGACCAGAGGUCAGCUGUGUGGUCAUAGGGUUUCUUUUUCACCAGCUCCGGAGACAUGUACAGAGGAGUCCCCUUAAUGGAGGUCAACACCAAUGUGGACACACUCAUGGCCCGAGCAAAUCUGGAAGGAGGAGGACGAGUCUGAGAGUGUUGUCUAAUUUCCACGACAAUUUGGUGUCUCCUGGCUGGGCUGCGCGAGUCUUUCAGCUUUUCUGGGCAACAAGCAAACUGGAGGAUGCUCGUAGAAAAGUUUCUCCCUGAAGUCCGUGUUGACACGCAGGUGGUUUGCCGUUUGUUGUGCAGAGCGGAAGACCGAUGCAGCCUUACCACUGACUGGCUGAAAAAAUUCAGGUCUUCACAUCCGGGUCUCACAGGAAGAGCAAUGGAUUGCCGAUACUAUUAUUACACGCUGCUCAGAACCGGCUAAAUGGUUGUGGUUGUGGUGUGGAUUGGGCCGAUAGUGAAACAGAAGAUGAACCAAGGGGUAAGUUAAGCUAUGCUUUAUUUAUCAACAGCGCAGGGGGAUAUUUUACUAUACUGUUCAAUUACUUCUCAUUUAUCCUUUCAGAAAAAUGGCAGUCAUUCAUUGUAGCGAAAUUAUGUUAGCUUUUUGUGACUAGCUAGCUAACGUUAGCUAACGAUGUUAUAUUUUGAACACCUGCACGAAGUCAAUGGCUUGGCUAACUACACACUUACUAGCUAGCUUUGCUGGUAGUCCUUAGGGACUGGACUGUAGCCACCUAGGUCAGAGAUGGAAAAGACAAUUUACAGCCAAUACAGGCAAUUUACUAAGGAAUUUUUUUAUAUAGCUUUUUUUUUUAUAGCUUUUUUUAUAGCUAUAUUUUUUUAUAGCUUUAUAACAGCUAUAACAACACCCAUUGUCCAAUCUCCAUAAAAGUUUGCAUGCAUCUUUCCAAUUAUAUAUUGCACAUCCUCACAUAGUUUCAUGAAGUUCUGACUUUACGUACUUUGGUAUUACCUUCCCUCAAAGUUUCAGCUCUCUAGUACUUACGGUUUGGUCUGCACAGUCAGUUUUAGGGCAGAAUAAUAAUAAAAUAAAAUAAAAAAAGAAUAAUAAAAAUCCUUACAAUCAACUGAUUGGGAUUUUUGCUGUUUUUGGUACAGGUAAGCAUGUUCAUUACUGUCCACGCUAAUCACAAAUACACGCCAAGUGGAUAGAGAAAAUGCUGUGGCGUUACUUUGAGAGGUCUCUACUUGUUUAGAGAGCUAACGGUAGUAGUGUUUCUCUAGGAGACGGUGCUGUGGACUGAGAGCAAGAAGGGAGAGAAAGUCCAGAUCACUGUCACGCUGACCAAUGAACUGCCUCCAUCCUCACUCA